rnacentral:tRNA from 1 species
AAUCGUAGCUCAGUUGGUUAGAGCGCUGCCCUGUCACGGCAGAGGUCGCGAGUUCGAGUCUCGUCGGUUCC